CCCGGUGUAUUAGGAACCGAUAUCGAUGACGAUUCGGUCGUCAGCUGUGCAUGCCGUAAUGCUGGCAACAUUGUGUACGGCUUUCAAGCUUCACGGCUAGUCGAAGUGAUAGUUAGUUGUAUGUAACGAGACGAGCUUGUUGAGAACAAACAUUAGUCCAACAUUACGUGAUUUAAAAAAAAAAAAAAAAAAUUGUAAUUGUUUAUCACUAAUAUGCGUGAUGUUUUAGGGCUGGGAACAUGUUCACCUUCGUUCUGUUGCUUAAGAAGAAUCUGUUGACUUGGAAACUAGAUAUUUUCUGAUACGUUCUCUCGAACGUUUCCUUCUGGUUAUUCAGCAAUGACUGGUAUUCACACGUCUUUCCCGUGACCGGGACAGAGCUCCUCUACACAUCAAUGCUUUGGCAUUGAUCUUGUUCUUGAAUAUGAUGACACCGGUGUACUCUUAAUUCACUUCCUCAUUUCUAUUGUGGUUUUGACAGUCACAGUAGGUGUCGAAGUCAUUCAUGUCUUUUAUUAUACAGCUUUGCCCGUCCUAUAGGCCGUUUGUUUGUCUGUUACUGUUAUUAUAACAAAACGUAUCAUUAUAAAGUCAAUAUUUGUGCUCACACGUCUUUCGGGGACUUGUCAUGCAUCUCAGAUUAUUACAAUAUUUUUGAAGUCAUCCUGAAAAAAUAAACAUCAAAUGUGUUAUGAAAUGUCAGACACGUUGCUUUAAGUCUGUUGUCAAGGGCCUAUAGCAACAGGACGGUCUUAUCGUUUGUCUUUGUUUUCUGUUUUGUUAUCAGCAUAACGAGGGUGUGACUAUCAAACAGGAAAUGACCUGUAUGGCUACCCCUCCUUUCUACCGAAAUAAAAGGAGGAAGGAAAGAUGUACAUGAAAAAGAGAGUAUAGCCUUUAGCACGUGCUGUCAAUCUAAGCUUCUUCUAAGUCUAUUACACAGUCAGAGGGAGAGAGAGAGGUCACCCCAGUGGCACAGGUCUAUUAUAACCCUCAGUCAGAGAGGAGAGGUGUGACAUCACUCAAGAAGGAAGUGGCACUAGUUGUGAGCCAGCACCUCAGACCAAUGGGAAGACAGACAUUAUAUUUGCAAUCAUAUUCUGACUUUACAACAUUAAUCCAUUUUGAUUAUUAUUCUUUUUUUUAAAGUAGUUGUCAAUCUCCAAUAGAAACCAUUACAGUCACCACCUUCCGGAGACACCUGUAACCCCACCUCUUUAAGGAAUACCUAGGAUAGGAUAAGUAAUCCUUCUCACCCCCCCCCCCUUUAAGAUUUAGAUGCACUAUUGUAAAGUGACUAUUCUACUGGAUGUCAUAAGGUGAAUGCACCAAUUUGUAAGUCGCUCUGGAUAAGAGCUUCUGCUAAAUGACUUAAAUGUAAAUGUACAGUUCCAUUUGGCUGGGGUUUGAGUUAGUCGUUCAUCAAUGUUUUGUAUUUUUGUUAAGUACUAGAGAGUAGUGUUCAGUAAAGGAACUUCCUACAGCCACACACCUGAAAAAUCAUUUUAGUUUCAGAUUAAUUUGUGUUGUUGUUGAUUCAAACCACCUUUUACUUCCUUCCACUUUGUCUUUUAGAACCAACUCCCCAUGUUUGAGCUCUGUCAUUUUAGGGUCCUACGUUUUGACAGUUUUACAGUAUCCAUUGGGCUGAACAGAAUGCUACUGAAAUAGAUACAGGCCUGAGGCCAGCAUUGAGUUGACAUGUGUCUCCUAGGCAGGGGCCUUUGCUGUGGUUACAGUAUCCAGUCCACUACUACUGGUAGUGGCCACAGCUCAAAUAGUAGUAGUAUUUCUAUUCGCAGCAUAAAAUCACUAGUAGACUGUUUCUGAGUACUGCAGAUCCUGCUCUCUUUUUUUUUUUUUAAGAGCCAAUUAGGCGUACAUGUCAAACAUCCUUCCUCCAGAGGACCUCGUUAGCCUCUUAACUUACUCCAUGUUGAGUUCCUCCAACUACUAUGGGUUCAGGUCAAAAACAGUGCAUCUCUAUAUUGACUAAAUAGGUUUCCAUACCAGACACAGCCCUGGGGAAUGUCCACACAGGGUUUUGCUGUGUGUCUCUACUGUGAAAUAGCUUGUUGAGAGUAGUUUUAAGUCCUGUUAAACCCCUGCCUUUGUAGCUGGCGUGUAUCUGCUUCUGCUGUAACACUGCUGCCAUACGACCUACUGCUGUUAUGUGGAGGCCUAUGAGCUACUGCUGUUAUGUGGAGGCCUAUGAGCUACUGCUGUUAUGUGGAGGCCUAUGAGCUACUGCUGUUAUGUGGAGGCCUAUGAGCUACUGCUGUUAUGUGGAGGCCUAUGAGCUACUGCUGUUAUGUGGAGGCCUAUGAGCUACUGCUGUUAUGUGGAGGCCUAUGAGCUACUGCUGUUAUGUGGAGGCCUAUGAGCUACUGCUGUUAUGUGGAGGCCUAUGAGCUACUGCUGUUAUGUGGAGGCCUACGAGCUACUGCUGUUAUGUGUAGGCCUAUGAGCUACUGCUGUUAUGUGGAGGCCUAUGAGCUACUGCUGUUAUGUGGAGGCCUACGAGCUACUGCUGUUAUGUGGAGGCCUACGAGCUACUGCUGUUAUGUGGAGGCCUAUGAGCUACUGCUGUUAUGUGGAGGCCUAUGAGCUACUGCUGUUAUGUGGAGGCCUAUGAGCUACUGCUGUUAUGUGGAGGCCUAUGAGCUACUGCUGUUAUGUGGAGGCCUAUGAGCUACUGCUGUUAUGUGGAGGCCUAUGAGCUACUGCUGUUAUGUGGAGGCCUAUGAGCUACUGCUACACCAUUGUUAUGGAACCUCAUGUUCAUCUGAGUUAGUUGUUGCCAAGUAGCAUGCGGUUCUCUAUCGGUUAUCUAUCGGUUGAGUUGGAUGGGUAGGGAUGGGUAGGCUAUAGUCCAAGGUCAACGUUAAGCCUGUCCUGUUCAGAGGACACAGACAAGGUCCUACUGUACUGUUCAAACUGUCAAAUCCUCUCACAUCUACAUAGUGCCUAGGAGUUAAGGACCAGGAGAUAUGGGGGGGGGGGGUCUAUAUUAGUAGGUCAGAAGACGUUUGUAGGGUUAGCCGACCUAAUGCAUUAAAGAUAAUCAUCAGUCUGUGGUGUCAUGCAACAGCUGUAAAUAGAAGUGAAGGCCAAUCCUCCAAUCUGCCUAAUCAUGUUGUGUUGCUCAGUAGUAUGGUCCCUCGUUCAGCAGGUCGGUCCCUCCCCGGGAACCAACAGACAUCUGCCUAAUCAUGUUGUGAUGCUCAGUAGCAUGGUCCCUCGUUCAGCAGGUCGGUCCCUCCCCGGGAACCAACAGACAUCUGCCUACAUUCACAUGAUAUACAGAAACACAAACAUUUCUGUACACUGUCCAAGACAAUACACAUACAGUACUGUGUAUCUACACGGAGUGGACAAAACAUUAGGAACGCCUUCCUAAUAUUGAGUUGCACUCCCCUUUAGCCCUCAGAACAGCCUCAAUAGAUCAGGACAUGGACUCUAGGAGGUGUCGAAAGCGUUUCACAGGGAUGUUGACUCCAAGGCUUCCCACAGUUGUGUCAAGUUGCCUGGAUGGCCUGUGGGUGGUGGACCGUUCUUGAUACACAUGGGGAAACUGAUGAGCGUGAAAAACUCAGCAGUGUUGCAGAUCUUGACACACUCAAUCCAGUACACCUGGCACCUACUACCAUACCCCGUUUAAAGGCAUGUAAAUCUUUUGUCUCGCCCAUUCACCCUCUGAAUGGCAAACAUUCACAAUCCACGUCUCAAAUGUCUCAGGGCUUAAACAUCCUUCUUUAACGUGUCUCCUCCCCUUCAUCUACAUAUCUCCUCCCCUUCAUCUACAUGUCUCCUCCCCUUCAUCUACACUGAUUGAAGUGGAUUUAACAAGAGACAUCAAUAAGGGAUCAUAUCCUUCACCUGGAUUCACCUGGUCAGUCUAUGUCAUGGAAAGAGCAGGUGUUCUUAAUGUUUUGUACACUCCGUGUAUAUUGUAUAUCUUAUUGUACAGUGGAUAUCUGAUAUUAGUUGGAUGUGGAAACUGAACUGGGGCAAUGUCUCCUCAGAGUCAGUGGAUUAUUAUAUAUCUAUGAUUCUGUUUGUCCUGUUCGAUGUAUAGCCUGGUAUUGAGGUGUUUUCUGUUUGUCCUGUUCAAUGUAUAGCCUGGUAUUGAGGUGUUUUCUGUUCGUCCCUUUUGAUGUAUAGCCUGGUAUUGAGGUGUUUUCUGUUCGUCCCUUUUGAUGUAUAGCCUGGUAUUGAGGUGUUUUCUGUUCGUCCCUUUUGAUGUAUAGCCUGGUAUUGAGGUGUUUUCUGUUCGUCCCUUUUGAUGUAUAGCCUGGUAUUGAGGUGUUUUCUGU